UGCCUAUGCCAUACCACCCUGAACGUACUCCAUCACAUUUGAUCUCAGAAGGUAAGCAGGGUCAGGUCUGGUUGGAUGGGAGA
ensembl:rRNA 5S_rRNA 5S ribosomal RNA